CAACAUCGCCUUUGCUCCUUGCUUUGCUGGUGCGAAGAGCGGAAAUUGGCCUCGUGUGCCCUCGGGCACAGUCGGUCGAAGAGCGGGUAGUCGGCAGUCGUCGGGCGCGAUGGGUGCUGGUCACCCUGUGCGUGAAUAGAACGUCGCCCCGACGUGUCGGGAUGUGUCCUCAAAGAGACCCUGUGCGAUURCGGCAUCAUGUCAAAGUGACGUGCCCAUCGGAUU
rnacentral:misc_RNA from 1 species